AGUGGAUGGGGAGCAACCUAGUUGUGCGUGUGUAAAGGUAGUGCCAAGAAAAGCGGUGAUCAUGAUGAAAAUCAAUUCCCGGUACCCGAAACCGACACAGGUGGGCAAGUAGAGAAUACUAAGGGGCGCGAGGUAACUCUCUCCAAGUAACUCGGCAAAAUGACCCCGUAACUUAGGGAGAAGGGGUGCCACCGAGAGGUGGUCGCAGUGAAGAGGCCCAGGCGACUGUUUAGCAAAAACAUAGGUCUCUGCAAACUCGAAAGAGGAGGUAUAGGGGCUGACGCCUGCCCAGUGCCGGAAGGUUAAAGAAGUUGGUCAGUCUUAGGAUGAAGCUAGCGACUGAAGCCCCGGUGAACGGCGGCCGUAACUAUAACGGUCCUAAGGUAGCGAAAUUCCUUGUCGGGUAAGUUCCGACCCGCACGAAAGGCGUAACGAUCUGGGCGCUGUCUCGGAGAGAGGCUCGGCGAAAUAGGAUUGUCUGUGAAGAUACGGACUACCUGCAUUUGGACAGAAAGACCCUAUGAAGCUUUACUAUAGCUUGGAAUUGUGUUCGGGCUUCCUGUGCGCAGGAUAGGUGGGAGGCGUAGAAGGUAUUCUUGUGGGGAUACUGGAGCCAACGGUGAGAUACCACUCUCAGGAGGCUAGAAUUCUAACUUAAUUAAGGACAGUUUCAGGUGGGUAGUUUGACUGGGGCGGUCGCCUCCAAAAAGGUAACGGAGGCGUACAAAGGUUCCCUCAGACUGGUUGGAAAUCAGUCGAAGAGUGCAAAGGCAGAAGGGAGCUUGACUGCGAGAAGUACAGUUCGAGCAGGGUGGAAACACGGUCUUAGUGAUCCGACGGUGCUGUGUGGAAGGGCCGUCGUUCAACGGAUAAAAGUUACUCUAGGAUAACAGGCUGAUCUCCCCCAAGAGUUCACAUCGACGGGGAGGUUUGGCACCUCGAUGUCGGCUCAUCGCAACCUGGGGCGGAAGUACGUCCCAAGGGUUGGGCUGUUCGCCCAUUAAAGCGGUACGUGAGCUGGGUUCAGAACGUCGUGAGACAGUUCGGUCCAUAUCCGAUGUAGGCGUGAGAAUAUUGAGAGGAGCCUUCCUUAGUACGAGAGGACCGGGAAGGACGCACCGCUGGUGUACCUGUUAUGAUGCCAAUUGUAAACGCAGGGUAGCCAAGUGCGGAGAGGAUAACCGCUGAAAGCAUCUAAGUGGGAAGCCCACCUCAAGAUGAGUAUUCUGGUGUAAGGUCACGGGAAGACGACCCGUAAAUAGGCACGAGGUGGAAGUGCAGAGAUGUAUGAAGCCGAAGUGUACUAAUAGACCGUCGGCUUGACCA
rnacentral:rRNA from 1 species